AUUGAACGCUGGCGGCAGGCCUAACACAUGCAAGUCGAACGGUAACAGGAAGAAGCUUGCUUCUUUGCUGACGAGUGGCGGACGGGUGAGUAAUGUCUGGGAAACUGCCUGAUGGAGGGGGAUAACUACUGGAAACGGUAGCUAAUACCGCAUAACGUCGCAAGACCAAAAAGGGGGACCUUCGGGCCUCUUGCCAUCGGAUGUGCCCAGAUGGGAUUAGCUAGUAGGUGGGGUAACGGCUCACCUAGGCGACGAUCCCUAGCUGGUCUGAGAGGAUGACCAGCCACACCGGAACUGAGACACGGUCCAGACUCCUACGGGAGGCCGCAGUUGGGAAUAUUGCACAAUGGGGGAAAGCCUGAUGCAGCCAUGCCGCGUGGAUGAAGAAGGCCUUCGGGUUGUAAAGUACUUUCAGCGGGGAGGAAGGGAGUAAAGUUAAUACCUUUGCUCAUUGACGUUACCCGCAGAAGAAGCACCGGCUAACUCCGUG
rnacentral:rRNA from 1 species